CUUCACAGCCCCAAACGGUUUCCCGACUGUUGGCCCAUCCUGAACUGAACGCUGCCUGAGCGACGGCGGAGACUGCAGAGCCAGGCCGCCACCCAUGAGGCUGACGUUCUUCCCUCUACUCCCACCAGACGCCUCCCCAGCUGGUGAGGACGCACAGAGGCCACGGUCUUCCCUCUACUCCCACCAGACGCUUCCCCAGCUGGUGAGGACCCACACGAGGCCACGGUCUUCCCUCUACUCCCACCAGACGCUUCCCCAGCUGGUGAGGACGCACAGAGGCCACGGUCUUCCCUCUACUCCCACCAGACGCCUCCCCAGCUGGUGAGGACACACACGAGGCCACGUUCAUCCUCUACUCCCACCAGACGCCUCCCCAGCUGGUGAGGACACACAUGAGGCCACGUUCAUCCUCUACUCCCACCAGACGCCUCCCCAGCUGGUGAGGACACACACGAGGCCACGGUCUUCCCUCUACUCCCACCA
rnacentral:lncRNA from 1 species